rnacentral:rRNA from 1 species
GACGAACGCUGGCGGCGUGCUUAACACAUGCAAGUGGUGCGACGAACCAGGGCUUGCCCUGGGGCAAAGCCGCGAACGGGUGAGUAACACGUGAGUAACCUGCCCCGAUGACCGGGACAACCCGAGGAAACUCGGGCUAAUACCGGAUGUGGCGCACAGGCGUAAGCCUGUUCGCUAAAGGAAGCUUCGGCCUCCGCAUUGGGAGGGGCUCGCGGCCCAUUAGCUUGUUGGUGGGGUAACGGCCUACCAAGGCAACGAUGGGUAGCUGGUCUGAGAGGACGAUCAGCCACACUGGGACUGAGACACGGCCCAGACUCCUACGGGUGGCUG